rnacentral:rRNA from 1 species
GACCCGAAAGAUGGUGAACUAUGCCUGAGCAGGGGCGAAGCCAGGGGGAAACUCUGGUGGAGGCUCGUAGCGAUACUGACGUGCAAAUCGUUCGUUUGACUUGGGUAUAGGGGCGAAAGACUAAUCGAACCAUCUAGUAGCUGGUUCCCUCCGAAGUUUCCCCUAGGAUAGCUGGAACAUUUACAGUUUUAUCAGGUAAAGCUAAUGAUUAGAGGUCCUGGGGUUGAAACAACCUUAACCUAUUCUCAAACUUUAAAUAGGUAAGAAGCCCGGCGAUGCUUGAGUGAUCCCGGGCCUCGAAUGGAAUGUUCUUAGUGGGCCAUUUUUGGUAAGCAGAACUGGCGAUGCGGGAUGAACCGGACGUCGAGUUAAGGUGCCGGACUGUUCGCUCAUCUAGAUACCACAAAAGGUGUUGGUUCAUUUAGACAGCAGGACGGUGGUUCAUGGAAGUCGAAUUCCGCUAAGGAGUGUGUAACAACUCACCUGCCGAAUGAACUAGCCCUGAAAAUGGAUGGCGCUGAAGCGAACGACCUAAACUCGACCGCCAGGG